rnacentral:rRNA from 1 species
GGCGGACGGCUGAGUAACGCGUAGGAACGUACCCCAAACUGAGGAAUAACUGCUCGAAAGAGUAGCUAAUACCGCAUGUGCUCUACGGAGUAAAGCUUCGGCGGUUUGGGAACGGCCUGCGUAUGAUUAGCUUGUUGGUGAGGUAAUGGCUCACCAAGGCGACGAUCAUUAGCUGGUCUGAGAGGAUGAUCAGCCAGACUGGGACUGAGACACGGCCCAGACUCCUACGGGAGGCAGCAGUAGGGAAUUUUCCACAAUGGGCGAAAGCCUGAUGGAGCAACGCCGCGUGCAGGAUGAAGGCUCUAGGGUCGUAAACUGCUUUUAUAUGUGAAGAUUAUGACGGUAGCAUAUGAAUAAGGAUCGGCUAACUCCGUGCCAGCAGCCGCGG